ACCGGCGCGCAUACCUAAGAGCGGAUCUGCCGCCUUCGUUUCUCUUUCUUCGCGAAUGACUAGCCGACCUUCCGGCCUUGCCUUCGGCGAGCCUAGCUGGCGCCAUGGCGCCUGCGGGUUCGGUUAAGGGCUUGUAGCUCAGUUGGUUAGAGCGCGCGCUUGAUAAGCGUGAGGUCGGAGGUUCAAGUCCUCCCAGGCCCACCAUCCUUUCCGUCAGGUAGGUAUCAGGGGCCGUAGCUCAGCUGGGAGAGCGCCUGCUUUGCAAGCAGGAUGUCGUCGGUUCGAUCCCGUCCGGCUCCACCAUCACCCGGUGUUGAGAGGAUGAGCGGUCAUUCGCUGGAAAAACAAGUUUGUGGAUGGCUUCGGCCAUCCGCCUGUUCUGCAUGACAUCGUAAAGAGAAGAUUUGUUCGGGUUCCGUGUUCGGAGCCUGGUCCUGAAGGGUCCAUAACCUUUCGUAAGCGGCCGGGUGAUGAUGGAUACGGUCCGUCGCCGUGGACGCUCAAUCCGCGGCAUAUGAUGGGCACGCCUAACCGCUGCCCCCGAACCGAUCUCGAGAAGCUGGUCUUUUCUGCCGGUAUCCGUUGCGUCAAUCCUUGAGAUUGUGCGGUGGGCAUCGGCAAUGAGAACGAUCAAGUGUCUUAAGGGCAAUUGGUGGAUGCCUUGGCAUGCACAGGCGAUGAAGGACGUGAUACGCUGC
rnacentral:tRNA from 1 species